rnacentral:rRNA from 1 species
GUCCACACCGUAAACGCUGUCUACUAGCUGUUUGUGUAUUUAAUACGUGAGUAGCGAAGCUAACGCGCUAAGUAGACCGCCUGGGGAGUACGGCCGCAAGGUUAAAACUCAAAUGAAUUGACGGGGGCCCGCACAAGCGGUGGAGCAUGUGGUUUAAUUCGAUGCAACGCGAAGAACCUUACCUACACUUGACAUCCAGAGAACUUACCAGAGAUGGUUUGGUGCCUUCGGGAACUCUGAGACAGGUGCUGCAUGGCU